CUCAUGUCAUUCCUAAACUGUAUGUUUUCUAAUUAGCUGUUUUAAACUACUUUUAUUGUGAUUCCUUUUUGGACUUGACAGACAUGAGGGCUUUUCACACUUCUUCCUGGGUUAUCUUGCUUCACGUUUCACACUGCUCAUAAUUUACCCGGGGGUUAACAAUUAAUCCUGGGUAUUCAUAUACUGACGUUUCACACUGUACUUUCCUAAACCCUGGGUUAACGUUCUUAUUUGCAUAUUUGCCGUGUCAGUGUCAUUGAUUGAUAAACGCAGCACGCGAUGUGUUUACAUGUAGGCUAGCUAGCUCUAGCAUUGCGCAUCCUCGUAUUGCCGACUGUACUAUCGAGUUUAUACUGAAUGGAUCUUUCGGACUCUAAAGCUUCCUAUGUACUGUAAUGAAACUGAAAGUCUACGUAUAUCGAUUUGUUUUGGUGUGAAGGAAAUCAGUCAAGGGAAAUCAUCACCUUCAGGUCUCGGUGGACUAUCCCCAGUGAAUGCAGUGCAAGGAAGGAGAGAUGAACACAUUACCCUGGCAGAGCAUUGUGCCAAACGCUAGGGCUUCCGCUGUGGACCAGUCCAAUUUUGUGCCAUCUUCCAGUUUCUGCAGUCGAGCCUGCGGCAAAUCAAG